rnacentral:rRNA from 1 species
AACGAACGCUGGCGGCAGGCCUAACACAUGCAAGUCGAACGAGUAAGAGCCGUAGCAAUACGGAGUUCUGCUAGUGGCGCACGGGUGAGUAACGCGUGGGAACGUGCCUUGGAGUUCGGGAUAACAGUUGGAAACGACUGCUAAUACCGAAUAUUCCCUCAGGGGGAAAGAUUUAUCGCUCCAAGAUCGGCCCGCGUAAGAUUAGGUAGUUGGUGGGGUAAUGGCCUACCAAGCCUACGAUCUUUAGCUGGUCUGAGAGGACGACCAGCCACACUGGAACUGAGACACGGUCCAGACUCCUACGGGAGGCAGCAGUGGGGAAUAUUGGACAAUGGGCGAAAGCCUGAUCCAGCCAUGCCGCGUGAAUGAUGAAGGCCU